rnacentral:rRNA from 1 species
GACGAACGCUGGCGGCGUGCUUAACACAUGCAAGUCGAGCGGUAAGGCCCUUUCGGGGGUACACGAGCGGCGAACGGGUGAGUAACACGUGGGUGACCUGCCCUCAGCUCUGGGAUAAGCCUGGGAAACCGGGUCUAAUACCGGAUAUGACUCCAUGACGCAUGUUGUGGGGUGGAAAGCCUUGUGCGGCUGAGGAUGGGCCCGCGGCCUAUCAGCUUGUUGGUGGGGUGAUGGCCUACCAAGGCGACGACGGGUAGCCGGCCUGAGAGGGCGACCGGCCACACUGGGACUGAGACACGGCCCAGACUCCUACGGGAGGCAGCAGUGGGGAAUCUUGCGCAAUGGGCGAAAGCCUGACGCAGCGACACCGCGUGAGGGAUGACGGCCU